UAGAAACAGAGGAUAGCAAUUGCAAAAGCCAUGUGCGUAAAUAAACACACAACCAACAAUAUAAAGCUCAAACUUUAGUUAAAACUAUAACAGUAAUUGCGAGUAAAAUUGAAAAUAAAAUCUUGAACCAAAAAUUAUACUUUAGAGUAUAGGAGUAUUUUCUACCAAAAGAAAAAACAACUAAACUCUAGAUCCUUGUUUCUCUAUGAUCAUGAAGCUCUAAACUUCAAGCUUAACAUUCAUAAAUCAUAAAUCUUGUUGGUAUGGAUAUGAAGCUGCUCUCAUCAAAUCCUGAAAAAAUAUAUUUAAAAGUCACUUUAGUAUGCAUAGAUCUCCAAAUACGUUAUGAACAUAUAGGAACAUAGCUAGAGCAAACCUACCGUGAACGAGGUGGGAUAUCCACUUCAAUUGUCGUCUAUUUGUUCUUGAAAUGAUUUCAAAUAUGGUUGAAAUUGCUUUAUGAAAGAACCAAAUAAAAAUAACAAUUUAUUAGGGAUACUAAGUACAUGAAAAUAAGUAUUAAUCAACAAAUUACAUGAAGCAUCAAAAGAAGAUUUUACCACAGUAGGAGUUGCACUAAGUGGUGAUGUUGUGCCUUUGGAUUCCCCUUCAACAUUAGAUCUUGAAUUGUACAUCAAAUAUUACAGUUACAAUUGAAUUUAGACAAUUAUUGCAUCAUAUAAAGUGAGAUUACCUUACUCCCUUGCUCUUGCCCUUGCCUUUGGCUACGUAAACUUUGGAUUUGCCCUUUUUGUUUGUUAGAAGUGCUUUUUUAGUCCUUUAAAGAACUUUCUAAACCACCUCUGGUUCUCAAAGAAUUAGGACGUCCUUUAGUUAUCACACAUAUAGGGUCUUCUAGCAAGGUAGUAUUUUGUCUCUGUUCACUUGUGUUUAAUUUCACAUUUGAUUCAUUAACCAAAUCAUCACAUACAUUAUCCUCUUCAACCUCAUAAGGAAGCUCAUCAAAUUCUUAACAUAAUUGGGACUAUUUUUCAUAUGCAAAUUUAUAAUGCCUCUCAGACCGUGUAGCUCGUUCGGAGAGACCAAGAACAUGCAUCAUAAUGUUAUUGAACCAUAUAGAGGAAGGCUUCAAAUUAUUCACAUGCGAUUUGUCAUUUGAAGUGUCAUCAACUUUCUCUUUGGUUGCAUACCCUGUCCACCGAUUCAACAGAUAACAUGGUGGAAGUGAGUAAAUUUGUUUUUUUAAUAAAUACUACAAGCACAUGCCUGCGUAAGUAAGAUUCCUAUAAACUCAAACUUACAACAAGAACAAGUAACAUUUUUCAGUAUAAGGUUCAGCCUACAAUGCAUGCAGGUGUUUGUUUUUGAAACAAAUGAACUUAACAGACAUAUACUCCACCCCGAACCUCAAUUUUUUCUGAAACAAAUUUUCAAAAUAUUUUUCUGGUACCUUUGCUGCUUCAUUCUCCAUGGGAUAUAAAGUCUUCAAGAUAGCCUUCGAAUGUUUUAUCUUAUAUUCCUUCUCCAUUAUUUUAUCAUACCUACCAUCAACGACU
rnacentral:lncRNA from 1 species